AAAGUUGGAAGUUGAGUCUACUCUUCUUCGGCGAGAUCAUCUAGCAUGUUCCUUUCCUUUGUGAAACUCUGCUGAAUCAUCUGAAUGUAAGAAUCAAUUUUUGGAUCUUUACUAGGAGCAGCCAAAGAGAAGCAUGUGCACUCUUGCGAGUACAAAUUUGGUGUUUGUUGACCAAACCAAUUGUUACUCCCCCUGGCACGAACUAACCAUCAACAUUCUCUUAAGUUAAGUACCUUUAAGCUCUCAUCUUACAAAUUUUUUUUCUCAUUACUCUAGAUCAAUGGGUUGAACUUGCAAGAAGUUAAUACCACUAUCAGGUCUAAAUGAAUGAAAAUCAGAUUUGUUUGUGAAUCUCUAACUGCGAUUAACUGUUUCAGGCUACCAAUCUAAGCAAAUCAUACGUUAAUCAAGACCACAUGAGUUGAGGGAAACUUGAGCGGAAUUUGGAUUCUAUCUCAGCCUAAGCUUUCACCAGGCUGAGCUCCAUAGAACUGAUACCACUGCCUCAAGUCGUGGUUUAGAUCAACUCAAUCCUUCAAGAUAUUAGACCGAG